rnacentral:rRNA from 1 species
UACGAAGGGGGGCUAGCGUUGUUCGGAUUUACUGGGCGUAAAGCGCACGUAGGCGGAUCGAUCAGUCAGGGGUGAAAUCCCAGAGCUCAACUCUGGAACUGCCUUUGAUACUGUCGAUCUGGAGUAUGGAAGAGGUGAGUGGAAUUCCGAGUGUAGAGGUGAAAUUCGUAGAUAUUCGGAGGAACACCAGUGGCGAAGGCGGCUCACUGGCUCGGUACUGACGCUGAGGUGCGAAAGCGUGGGGAGCAAACAGG